CCCAACGGGCGCCGCGGCAGCGAUCGGAGCGCCAUUAGCCCUGAGGCGGCUGUGCGGGGUGGACGUAGGGCGUGUGGCGGCGGCGGCGGCGCGGCUCCCGGGGGCGACGGGCGUGGACGCGGGGCGACUACAUACCCUUGAGUGAUGCAGGCCAGUGCAGUGGUGGAAGCAGCUUCUGAUAAAGGCUACCACAGUAAUGGAGGAAACCUCCAAAAAGAAAAACCUUCUAAAACUAAGAAAGAAAAUUUGUUAUCUUCGAAUGGCUGUAAUGCAGUCAAAUUGACUUUUCCUGAUGAUGACUGGGAUUCCUUGGCACUAGAGCAAAGAGCUAAUGACAAAGAAAUUGGCAAUAUUGACAAAAUAGAUUUAUUGGACCCAUCUUUUUCAGUGAGUCAAGAUACUAACAGAGAGAGUACUCAGUCUCCGUCAAGUGAGUUUGAAGACAGUACUAACUAUGCUUCCUUAAAUGAAACAUACUCUAUUCAUUAUUCAGAGUCAAAACUAAAGCAUGAAAGUCUUAUUCUUUUAAGUUCAGAAUUAGAUCCUGAAAUGCAGAAAAGAAAGGAGAUGUUUCUUGAUAUUUUAGAACAUCAAGGUAAUAAGACUGUUGACUUCGAAAGAAUCUACAAGAUUUCAGAUGGUGAAUAUAAAGAAACUGCUGAAGAUAUGCAAAAGCAUGAUACAGAUGAAGACUCACAGCAGGAAUAUCACAGUGCAGAAGAACAAGAAUAUAUAAAUAAUCAUUUAUCUUUUGAUCAUACAAAAACAUUAAGUAUAUCUAAUCUGGAAGUUGUUGAAUUAAGAAAGUCGGGUUAUGAAGUUAAAUGUGCUAGCAAUCUAGAAGAUAAUCAUGUUAAGUUGGAAAGUGGUUCCAUCUUUUCUUUAGAUUCACUUGAUGUUUAUGGAGAAGAAGAUUCACCUCAUAUCUCCAAAUUUCAGAAUUCUGUCAUGUUAAGAGAAUAUUAUGAACCAAAGCAUGAAAGGUGUAAGGAACAAGAGACUAAUUUAAUGUACCACACAGUAUUUGAUGACUGUAUACUAAGAAGCAGUUCUCUUGGAAACCAGGAAUCUCAAUCUAAGAGUGGUUUCUUGAACCCUCAAAAAGCAUUAAAAACUAAAAUUUACACUGAAAAAACAAAAUCUCAAAUAACUGAAAGUAAAGAUUUUUGUGGAAAUACAAUUGUUGAGAACAAAAUAUUACAGCACCUUAAAAAUUCUAGUGCAUUACCACAAGACAAAGCUUUAGAGACAUUACUACAACCCUGUAAAGAUUGUCAAACUUCCUGGACCUCUGUUUUUGAUGAUUCAGUAAUUUCUUCCUGUGAAUAUUCACAUUAUAAAAGCCUACAAAACACCCCUGACCCAGCCUUAGGUUUUUCUAUUACACUACCAAGGGAUACAGUCAGAGAUACUCAGGCAAAAGAAGAAGGUAGCUCCCCAAAAGUUGCCAGUAGCAAUGCCACAAAUAAAACAUGCUUUGACAGUAUGGCAGGAAUAAAUCCUAAAUCAGUGACAGAUGCAGCAAGUUGUCCAGUCACAAUUAAUCAGACUGUAGAUGUUAGCGCUGAUUUUAGGGCUUGUUUCACAACAAGCAGGGCAACAAGUGCAAGAUCUUCUGUAGUAUCUACAUCGAGCAACACAGAGAUUACAAUGAUGAAUAAAAAACGGCCUGGUGAAUGGCAGAGUGAGCAACAAAGAAGUGUGGCUUGUAAUACAGAGUGGUCAUGCAGUCAAGACUGUGUAGAUGCUCAGGUGGCUAUGAUAAAAGGAUCAGGAAACUCUCCCUCAGUUGACAGUUUAAAACCUAACGGAAAUUUUCUAAAUAAGGAUUCCCUGGAAUUAAGAAAAACAUCUGAUAUCACAGACUUAAAGAAAUAUCCUGAGAGGGAAUUUCAACUUUUUAAAGAGAUGGAGAAUUUGCCGUCAGUGUGCUGUCAGAAAAUAAUGCAGAGAGCCAUGAAAGCAGAGCUGCAGCUUUUAAAUGUUCACUAUCAGAUGUGUCAUCGUCAUUGUUGUGAUAUUUACAAACUUGUAAUGGAAAAUAGGGAGGGAUUAAAUAGGAAUUUAUCAAGUAAUUCUGCUAAGAAGGAAUUAGGAUCGGCACUACUAUCUCUUUUGGGAGACUUAAAAGUUAGAUAUGAGAGUUUGAAAGAAAAAAUACACAAGGGCAUACCACUGGAAGAGCUGCCUCCACUGUCAGUAGAAUCAAAAUUGUUAUCUACCUUCUCUACUUUUGCUUCCAGGCUGAUGAAAGAAGAAUCACAUGUCUUUUCAGGAGCAGAUUCUGAAAUAGAUAAUCAAAGUGCUCAGGAUGUUGAUGUUUCAUCGAACCUAAAAAAGACACUCUCUCAAAUAUCUUUGUUACCUGACAAUAGUCAUCAUAUACCAGAUAUAUCACCCAAAAAAGAUUGUUUAAAAAAUGGUGAUAUAAAUGUAGACUUUGAUCAACUGAAACUUGAUGAUAAAGACUGUAGAAAUUACCAAGAAAUAAGUCAAGACUGGUUUGAUGCUAAAGAAAACCUGACAGGAGUUGACUUCUCAGGAAUACAAGAAAAUCAAAUAGAACAAGAUAGAUGGAAUCCGAAGUUUACAUUAGAAAUGAAUGUUGAACCCUUACGAAGAGAUAAAGGUUAUUUGAUACAUGUUGGUGGUCUCUGCCCUUCAGUAUCUGAGGCUGAUUUAAGAUCUCAUUUCCAGAGAUACCAAGUUUCUGAAAUUUCAAUUUACGAUUCUUCUAAUUACAGAUAUGCAUCUCUUGCUUUCAAAAAAAACAGUGAUGCAAAGAUGGCUGUGAAAGAAAUGAAUGGGCUAGAAAUAAAUGGAAAAUCAGUAAAUGUGCGACUUGUUAAAACUCCUGGAGAAUACCCAUCACCACUUGCCUCCAAAUAUGGGAAUAAAACUAGUUUGAAUAAUUUGGAGAAAAGCACCAACAACGAAAUCAACUCAGCCAUUCCUGUUUCUAGAUUGCCCAGAACUCGGGCAAGGCAGCUGGGAUCUGAGCAAGAUAGCGAGUUUUUUUCUUUUGACCAAAAGGGUGUCAAGAAGAAUUGUAAACAGAUUGAAUCUGCUAAAUUAUUACCUGAUGCACCUAUUAGAUUCAUACCUCCAAAUACAUUGAACUUGCGUAGCUUCACCAAGAUCAUGAAGAGACUGGCUGAACUACAUCCAGAAGUCAGCAGAGACCAUAUUAUAGAAGCUCUUCAGGAAGUAAGAAUAAGUCAUAAAGGUUUUCUGAAUGGCUUAUCUAUUAAUACUAUUGUGGAAAUGACUUCAUCUGUUCUGAAAAAUUCUGCUUCCAGUUAGGAAUAAAAACAAGAGAACUGCCUCAGCCAUCUCAACCUUUAGCAGCGACAACCCUGGUCAGUCAACAGCCAUCAACAGUGAAGCAGGACCCUCCACCAGCAAAAAGAUUGACUCACCAAAGGCUUACAUGAUAAUUAGCAAUAAAAUAUUUUAAAAUUAAGGAUUUCUUUGGAAAGCAUGAGUUUCCUGCUUCAGAGACUGUUCUACUUUUUUGCUAGAAAAAAGUAAUAGCAAAAUGAUAUAAUUAAAUAGGCUCUAUAAAUGGAUGUAGCUGUAAAAAUAUUCUACUUUAUAGCCCUCCUUUAAAAUCUAGCAACAUUUGCUUCUAUAAUAUUAAGAUCUUCUCUUUAAAAAAAAUAAAAUUUUAAUAAGUUACAAAACUUUAAUUUGAACUUGUUAGAGACUUCAAGCUGCAUAUUUUGGAUUAGAAAAAAUAGUCUUGUCCACUUAAAAAACUUUUAUUAAAUUGGUUCUUUAAAAUAUUGACUGAGAAAUCAAUAUUGAAAUCAUUUGUGAAAUGAUUUUAAUACAUUAAAAAAAAUGUAAUUUACCUGAAAUUUAUGUCUUAGUUACCGUUUUCAGUUGUCUUAAGACUCUUACAUUGGACCAUAGGAUAAUAGAUAAAUAAACUGAAUCUAUAGAUAAACAACAUUUUGGAACGUGUAUAUUUUUAACCUUCCAAGAUAAUUAAAUUACUGCUGUGAUAACAUUUGAUGCAUUUUUAUGACCUCAGUAUAAACCAUUCAAGUGUAUUUUGAUUUUCACUGGGAAUGAUGAACCCAUGAGUGCUUUGGUAAAGUACUUAAAUUUAAAUGGUCGCCAUAUUGCUUGCAUCCAUUUUGUGAGAAGCUAUGUUGUAUUAGGUUAGAGUGUAAAUUAGAACAAUUUUAAAAGGCUAAUUUUGUGCUUUAAUAGCAAUAUUGAAUAUAAGCUUCUUUAAUUGCUUUUUAAAAAUAACAUACUGUUUAAAGUUGCAUUUUUACUAAUAGUAAGAUUAACAUUUAAGUAUGCUUUUUCUUCAAAUGUUUAAAAUGUUUAAAACAUCCAAUAUUUAGUUGGUGUCACUUGAUUAAAAAUUACCCAUUUAACAUUUAUAUUUGAUGUAUUUAUAUUUAAUAAAGGCAGCUAAUUUGUA